rnacentral:rRNA from 1 species
AUGAACGCUGGCGGCGUGCCUAAUACCUGCAAGUCGGGCGAACAGAUGAGGAGCUUGCUCCUCUGACGUUCGCGGCGGACGGGUGAGUAACACGUGGAUAACCUACCUAUAAGACUGGGAUAACUUCGGGAAACCGGAGCUAAUACCGGAUAAUAUAUUGAACCGCAUGGUUCAAUAGUGAAAGACGGUUUUGCUGUCACUUAUAGAUGGAUCCGCGCCUCAUUAGCUAGUUGGUAAGGUAACGGCUUACCAAGGCAACGAUGCGUAGCCGACCUGUGAGGGUGAUCGGCCACACAGGAACUGAGACACGGUCCAGACUCCUGCGGGAGGCAGCAGUAGGGAAUCGUCCGCAAUGGGCGAAGGCCUGACGGAGCAACGCCGCGUGAGUGAUGAGAGUCUUCGGAUCGUAAAACUCUGUUAUUAGGGAAGAACAAAUGUGUAAGUAACUAUGCACGUCUUGACGGUACCUAAUCAGAAAGCCACGGCUAACUACGUG